rnacentral:lncRNA from 1 species
AGUCAAUCGCGCACACACACUAGCUGAAUAUGCAGAGCUAGCGUGCAAAUAUUAACUAUUAAGCUAGCUAGUACCUAUUCCAUUUAUUUGGCGUCGUCAAAGAUGGAAUCAGCAUGCAGAUGACGCAGAGCAGGCAACAUAUGGCACACAGACAGCAGAGUUGGGGACAGAUAUGCAGGGACAGACUGGCAGAGACAGGGUGUCUCAGGAGGACAGGAUCAUGAAUAUGCAGCAGUCGGAGGAGAGGUUCCCCUCCAGGCCGGAGAAAAGGCUGAUAAUUACAUCUUCUUCUCCUUCAACCAAAAGAGAGCAUGACUUUGAAGAUAUGAUCAC